rnacentral:rRNA from 1 species
GAUGAACGCUGGCGGCGUGCCUAAUACAUGCAAGUCGAGCGAACAGACGAGGAGCUUGCUCCUUUGACGUUAGCGGCGGACGGGUGAGUAACACGUAGGUAACCUACCUAUAAGACUGGGAUAACUUCGGGAAACCGGAGCUAAUACCGGAUAAUAUUUCGAACCGCAUGGUUCGAUAGUGAAAGAUGGCUUUGCUAUCACUUAUAGAUGGACCUGCGCCGUAUUAGCUAGUUGGUAAGGUAACGGCUUACCAAGGCAACGAUACGUAGCCGACCUGAGAGGGUGAUCGGCCACACUGGAACUGAGACACGGUCCAGACUCCUACGGGAGGCAGCAGUAGGGAAUCUUCCGCAAUGGGUGAAAGCCUGACGGAGCAACGCCGCGUGAGUGAUGAAGGUCUUCGGAUCGUAAAACUCUGUUAUUAGGGAAGAACAAACGUGUAAGUAACUGUGCACGUCUUGACGGUACCUAAUCAGAAAGCCACGGCUAACUACGUG